rnacentral:lncRNA from 1 species
GGGGGGGGGUACUUUUUAUUUGUUUGAUUUCUGAUUACAUUCAUCUUACGUAUUUACUCUGAAGUGGAAGUUUUAACUUUAUUUUAAUUUUCUGUAUUGGUUUUCCUUGAUACUUUCAUGAGUUUUCCAUUAUAUUUUCCAGAUCAAGUCCAGAAAGAAAUGGCUAGGAUGAUGGCUCUGUUCAAGGAUGAUUGGAGGAGAGAACAGUUCCAGAAUGAUGAUCUUCAAAAGAAAGUCGAUCAAGUCCAGAAAGAAAUGGGUAAAUCUUUUUGACAUUUUUUAACAGAUGUAUUUCUUUAAAACAUCUUUUCCCACCAUUUCUCAACAUUCCCUCCUCCCUGCUCCUGUCCGCCCUUUAGCUUCUUGUGGGUUCCACGUUACCCUAUCUUCUCUUUGACGUCCUGAGGUCCUCCCACAUCACGUUCCCUUCUCACCAUCUCUCUGGCUGUUAUUCCUUCCAGUCUCUUCCUUGCUAUACACCCAGGUGGUGUUCUACCUCCCUGGUGAUUACCCUAAUUUCAUGAUAAGGUUGGUGAGAUGAAGGCGAUUCGCUUAAGGUGAGUGUGGUCAUUGCCAUUCGAGAGAAGGCUUCCUUUCCCUUGGGUUCUCCAAGUGCUCUGAGGUGGAGUGCCUCUUGCUUUACAGAUGAUCGUGUUCUGGCUUUUAGGGGAAGCAUUCAGACUCCAAAGCUGUUGCAUGAGAUGAGUUCCUUCUUUGUUGACUGUGUAAACACUGUCUGUAUACACUGAUGUCAAGUGUGCUCUUGAAACGAGCCAGUCCGCUUUGCUUGACCCUAUUCCCAAGGGAUAUUGGUAAUAGUUUUGCAUGACAAUGUGGGAUUUUUCCUUUUAAACAACAAUGAUUACUCUCCUUUCUUUUAUAUUUUAAUUCAUUUAAUAAUUACUCCAACACAUUUCUCUUCCUUCAGGGUCUUACACAUACACUUUUCCGUCAAUCAAAUAAACGUGACUGACAAUAUAUUUCCGGCGUCA